GAUGAAGAACGUAGCGAAAUGCGAUAAGUAAUGUGAAUUGCAGAAUUCAGUGAAUCAUCGAAUCUUUGAACGCACAUUGCGCCCCCUGGUAUUCCAGGGGGCAUGCCUGUUCGAGCGUCAUUUCACCACUCAAGCCUCGCUUGGUAUUGGGCAACGCGGUCCGCCGCGUGCCUCAAAUCGACCGGCUGGGUCUUCUGUCCCCUAAGCGUUGUGGAAACUAUUCGCUAAAGGGUGUUCGGGAGGCUACGCCGUAAAACAACCCCAUUUCUAAGGUUGACCUCGGAUCAGGUAGGGAUACCCGCUGAACUUAAGCAUAUCAAUAAGCGGAGGA
rnacentral:misc_RNA from 1 species